CCUGCCAGCAAAACCAGAGACAAAGCAGAAAGACGUGGAUCUUGUAUUUUCAUUUCUUCCCAGUAGGACCACACUCCUUAUAGUUCUCAAGUCCAAAUAAUGUCCUAAAACUUGAUUGAAUGUCUUUAAAAAAUCAACUCAGAAAAAAUGAAAAACAAGCAUCCACUUCUAAACUCAUGUUUAAAAUAUAAGCUGGGGUUGUGGCUCAGUGGUAUAGUACUUGCCUGGCAUAUUUGAAGCACUGGGUUCGAGCCUCAUUUUUUUUAAAAAAAGAUAUAUCUGAAAAUAACUAUCAUAGUUUUUCCGGUAAAUUUUUUUAACUUUUUUUUUAGUUGUAGAUGAACACAAUACGUUUAGUUAUUUAUCUUUUUUUUAUUUUGUUUUGAUUUAAUUAGUUACACAUGACAGUUGAUCAAUAAUCUUGACAUAAUCAUACAUUUGAAUCAGAUGGGAUAUAAUUUCUCAUUUUUCUGAGUGUACAGGUUGCAGAAUUACAUUGGUCAUGCAGUCACAUAUAUACCCACAGCAAUAAUAAUGCCUAUUUUAUUCUGCUGUCCUCCCAUUCCUCCCUCCCUCAUCCCUCCCCUCCCAUCACUACUCUCUACCCAAUCUAAUGUGACUCACUUCUUUUUUUUUCCCCCCUCACAUCGUCAUACUUGAAUUCUGUAUAACGAAGGGGGUCUCCUUCCCUCUUCCAUGCAAUUCCCCUUCUCUGUCCCUUUCCCUCCCACCUCUCUUCCCUAUCUAGAGGUAAUUUUCUUCUCAUGCUCUUCCUCCCUACCCCAUUUUGAGUCACCUCCCUUAUAUCAGAGAAGACAUUCUGC
rnacentral:lncRNA from 1 species